rnacentral:rRNA from 1 species
GAUGAACGCUAGCUACAGGCUUAACACAUGCAAGUCGAGGGGCAGCAUUUCAGUUUGCUUGCAAACUGGAGAUGGCGACCGGCGCACGGGUGAGUAACACGUAUCCAACCUGCCGAUAACUCGGGGAUAGCCUUUCGAAAGAAAGAUUAAUACCCGAUGGUAUAAUCAGACCGCAUGGUCUUGUUAUUAAAGAAUUUCGGUUAUCGAUGGGGAUGCGUUCCAUUAGGCAGUUGGUGAGGUAACGGCUCACCAAACCUUCGAUGGAUAGGGGUUCUGAGAGGAAGGUCCCCCACAUUGGAACUGAGACACGGUCCAAACUCCUACGGGAGGCAGCAGUGAGGAAUAUUGGUCAAUGGGCGCAGGCCUGAGCCAGCCAAGUAGCGUGAAGGAUGACUGCCCUAUGGGUUGUAAACUUCUUUUAUAUGGGAAUAAAGUUUUCCACGUGUGGAAUUUUGUAUGUACCAUAUGAAUAAGGAUCGGCUAACUCCGUGCCAGCAGCCGCGGUAAUACGGAGGAUCCGAGCGUUAUCCGGAUUUAUUGGGUUUAAAGGGAGCGUAGGUGGACAGUUAAGUCAGUUGUGAAAGUUUGCGGCUCAACCGUAAAAUUGCAGUUGAUACUGGCUGUCUUGAGUACAGUAGAGGUGGGCGGAAUUCGUGGUGUAGCGGUGAAAUGCUUAGAAAUCACGAAGAACUCCGAUUGCGAAGGCAGCUCACUGGACUGCAACUGACACUGAUGCUCGAAAGUGUGGGUAUCAAACAGGAUUAGAUACCCUGGUAGUCCACACAGUAAACGAUGAAUACUCGCUGUUUGCGAUAUACAGUAAGCGGCCAAGCGAAAGCAUUAAGUAUUCCACCUGGGGAGUACGCCGGCAACGGUGAAACUCAAAGGAAUUGACGGGGGCCCGCACAAGCGGAGGAACAUGUGGUUUAAUUCGAUGAUACGCGAGGAACCUUACCCGGGCUUAAAUUGCAUUUGAAUAUAUUGGAAACAGUAUAGCCGUAAGGCAAAUGUGAAGGUGCUGCAUGGUUGUCGUCAGCUCGUGCCGUGAGGUGUCGGCUUAAGUGCCAUAACGAGCGCAACCCUUAUCUUUAGUUACUAACAGGUCAUGCUGAGGACUCUAGAGAGACUGCCGUCGUAAGAUGUGAGGAAGGUGGGGAUGACGUCAAAUCAGCACGGCCCUUACGUCCGGGGCUACACACGUGUUACAAUGGGGGGUACAGAAGGCAGCUACCUGGUGACAGGAUGCUAAUCCCAAAAGCCUCUCUCAGUUCGGAUCGAAGUCUGCAACCCGACUUCGUGAAGCUGGAUUCGCUAGUAAUCGCGCAUCAGCCAUGGCGCGGUGAAUACGUUCCCGGGCCU